rnacentral:rRNA from 1 species
AAUGCCUACGGGACGCAGCAGUGGGGAAUCUUCCGCAAUGGACGAAAGUCUGACGGAGCAACGCCGCGUGAGUGAUGACGGCCUUCGGGUUGUAAAGCUCUGUUAAUCGGGACGAAAGGUCUUCUUGCGAAUAGUUAGAAGAAUUGACGGUACCGGAAUAGAAAGCCACGGCUAACUACGUGCCAGCAGCCGCGGUAAUACGUAGGUGGCAAGCGUUGUCCGGAAUUAUUGGGCGUAAAGCGCGCGCAGGCGGAUCAGUUAGUCUGUCUUAAAAGUUCGGGGCUUAACCCCGUGAUGGGAUGGAA